rnacentral:rRNA from 1 species
CUACGGGGUGCACCAGUGAGGAAUAUUGCACCAUGGGGGGCACCCUGAUGCAGCAACGCCGCGUGGAGGAUGACGCAUUUCGGUGUGUAAACUCCUUUUAUAUGUCAAGAAAAUGACGGUAGCAUAUGAAUAAGCACCGGCUAACUCCGUGCCAGCAGCCGCGGUAAUACGGAGGGUGCAAGCGUUACUCGGAAUCACUGGGCGUAAAGGACGCGUAGGCGGGUUGGAAAGUCAGGUGUGAAAUCCUACAGCUUAACUGUAGAACUGCACUUGAAACUUCUAAUCUAGAGUAUGGGAGGGGGAGAUGGAAUUAGUGGUGUAGGGGUAAAAUCCGUAGAUAUCACUAGGAAUACCUAAAGCGAAGGCGAUCUCCUGGAACAUUACUGACGCUAAGGCGUGAAAGCGUGGGGAGCAAACAGGAUUAGAUACCCCCGUAGUC